rnacentral:rRNA from 1 species
AUUGAACGCUGGCGGAAUGCUUUACACAUGCAAGUCGAGCGGCAGCGCGGUCUUCGGACUGGCGGCGAGCGGCGAACGGGUGAGUAAUACAUCGGAACAUGCCCAGUCGUGGGGGAUAACACUUCGAAAGAAGUGCUAAUACCGCAUACGUCCUGAGGGAGAAAGCGGGGGAUCGCAAGACCUCGCGCGAUUGGAGUGGCCGAUGUCAGAUUAGCUAGUUGGUGGGGUAAAGGCCUACCAAGGCAACGAUCUGUAGCUGGUCUGGGAGGAUGGUCAGCCACACUGGGACUGGGACACGGCCCAGACUCCUACGGGAGUCAGCAGUGGGGAAGUUUGGACAAUGGGGGCAACCCUGAUCCAGCCAUUCCGCGUGAGUGAAGAAGGCCUUCGGGUUGUAAAGCUCUUUCGGCAGGAACGAAACGGCGAGCUCUAACAUAGCUCGCUAAUGACGGUACCUGAAGAAGAAGCACCGGCUAACUACGUGCCAGCCGCCGCCGUAACAC